rnacentral:rRNA from 1 species
UACCAGCUCUCCGAGUGGUAGGGAUGAUUAUUGGGCUUAAAGCGUCCGUAGCCGGCUUAGCAAGUCUCCUGUUAAAUUCAGCGACCUAAUCGUUGAGCCGCGGGAGACACUACUAGGCUAGGAGGCGGGAGAGGCCGACGGUAUUCUCGGGGUAGGGGUGAAAUCCUAUAAUCCCGGGAGGACCACCAGUGGCGAAGGCUGUCGGCUAGAACGCGCUCGACGGUGAGGGACGAAAGCUGGGGGAGCGAACCGGAUUAGAUACCCGGGUAGUCCCAGCUGUAAACGAUGCGGGCUAGGUGUUGGGGUGGCUACGAGCCACUUCAGUGCCGCAGGGAAGCCGUUAAGCAUGCCGCCUGGGAGUACGAUCGCAAGGUUGAAACUUAAAGGAAUUGGCGGGGGAGCACCACCAGGCGUGAAGCCUGCGGUUU